CCAUGUCCUGAAAAGGAAGGACGUGUCAGCUUGAGCUAGCAGGAUCUGUAGACAGCACUUUGCAGAGGCAGACUUCGCGAUGAAGAGCACUUGCGAUGCGGCAACCGGGAGUUUCCGAAUGGAAAGGAGUCAUAGGCCUAUGUUGAAGCCCUCUGCUUGCGCCUCCAUUUAAAAUUGAGGGUUAUGUUGUAGGGGUUACCGACCGACCAUCAUCAACAUCGCUGAAGCAAUUGAAUUGAACGGAGGAGGUUCCGCGAGUCAAUGCAAUGGAGCCUGAGGAUGACAUCUUCAUCCCUGAAAAGGUUUUCAUCCUGGAGGAGACUGAAGGAGGUAGAGGAAAGAAGAGUUAGUACAGCAUGCCAAACAGGAAAGAAGAGUUAGUACAGCAAGCCAAACAGGAAAGAAGAGUUAGUACAGCAUGCCAAACAGGAAAGAAGAGUUAGUACAGCAUGCCAAACAGGAAAGAAGAGUUAGUACAGCAUGCCAAACAGGAAAGAAGAGUUAGUACAGCAUGCCAAACAGGAAAGAAGAGUUAGUACAGCAUGCCAAACAGGAAAGAAGAGUUAGUACAGCAUGCCAAACAGGAAAGAAGAGUUAGUACAGCAUGCCAAACAGGAAAGAAGAGUUAGUACAGCAUGCCAAACAGGAAAGAAGAGUUAGUACAGCAUGCCAAACUGAACCCUGGGUGCCAGUGUUCCUGUGCUGCGGUGGAGAAGAGGUCCACAGGGACCAUCACUAAAGCGCUCGGGGCCCAGCUAGAUAGCGCUCACGACCAUCAGUAUAUAACCGAGUCCUGGCCCAAUAUGCCACAGAUGGAGCUGACGGAGAGUGAGAUCAGUGAAGAC